rfam:Pteropus vampyrus cont1.86363, whole genome shotgun sequence.
AGGAAUUUGCCCCACAAACAGAUUCCCCCAGUAGCCGACAGAGGAAACGAAAUCCAUGCUGAGUCUGUAGAUCCAUGCUGAGACCCCGUGCCUGGCUUCUGCUGGUGCCAUCUGUCACUGCUUUUUCUUCACUCCCGAGUUUGCCAGAAAUCUGGCUGGCUUUGUCUCUAAUCUGC